UCCAGUCAUACUGCCUUUGGCUUUGAUCUUGUCAGCUCUCAUAAGCUAAGCAGGAUCUGGUUUGAUUUGGUACCUGGAUGACAGAACUCCGUGGAAAAUCUAUGUGAUGACUGCAC
rnacentral:rRNA from 1 species